rnacentral:rRNA from 1 species
GGUUAAGCGACUAAGCGUACACGGUGGAUGCCUAGGCAGUCAGAGGCGAUGAAGGGCGUGCUAAUCUGCGAAAAGCGUCGGUAAGCUGAUAUGAAGCGUAAUAACCGACGAUACCCGAAUGGGGAAACCCAGUGCAAUUCGUUGCACUAUUGCAUGGUGAAUACAUAGCCAUGCAAGGCGAACCGGGGGAACUGAAACAUCUAAGUACCCCGAGGAAAAGAAAUCAACCGAGAUUCCCCCAGUAGCGGCGAGCGAACGGGGAAGAGCCCAGAGUCUGAAUCAGUUGGUGUGUUAGUGGAAGCGUCUGGAAAGUCGCACGGUACAGGGUGAUAGUCCCGUACACAAAAACACACUGGCUGUGAACUCGAUGAGUAGGGCGGGACACGUGACAUCCUGUCUGAAUAUGGGGGGACCAUCCUCCAAGGCUAAAUACUCCUGACUGACCGAUAGUGAACCAGUACCGUGAGGGAAAGGCGAAAAGAACCCCGGCGAGGGGAGUGAAAUAGAACCUGAAACCGUGUACGUACAAGCAGUGGGAGCACCUUCGUGGUGUGACUGCGUACCUUUUGUAUAAUGGGUCAGCGACUUAUAUUUUGUAGCAAGGUUAACCGAAUAGGGGAGCCGUAGGGAAACCGAGUCUUAACUGGGCGUCUAGUUGCAAGGUAUAGACCCGAAACCCGGUGAUCUAGCCAUGGGCAGGUUGAAGGUUGGGUAACACUAACUGGAGGACCGAACCGACUAAUGUUGAAAAAUUAGCGGAUGACUUGUGGCUGGGGGUGAAAGGCCAAUCAAACCGGGAGAUAGCUGGUUCUCCCCGAAAGCUAUUUAGGUAGCGCCUCGUGAACUCAUCUUCGGGGGUAGAGCACUGUUUCGGCUAGGGGUCCAUCCCGGAUUACCAAACCGAUGCAAACUCCGAAUACCGAAGAAUGUUAUCACGGGAGACACACGGCGGGUGCUAACGUCCGUCGUGAAGAGGGAAACAACCCAGACCGCCAGCUAAGGUCCCAAAGUCAUGGUUAAGUGGGAAACGAUGUGGGAAGGCAUAGACAGCCAGGAUGUUGGCUUAGAAGCAGCCAUCAUUUAAAGAAAGCGUAAUAGCUCACUGGUCGAGUCGGCCUGCGCGGAAGAUGUAACGGGGCUAAACCAUGCACCGAAGCUGCGGCAGCGAACGUAUCACUUAAAACGCUUAACGUUGCGAAGCGACGUUCAAGCCACUAAAACGUUGAGUUGGCCUGAGAGCUGACAGACGGAAAGGCGUUUUAAGGAUACGUUCGUUGGGUAGGGGAGCGUUCUGUAAGCCGUUGAAGGUGGCCUGUGAGGGCUGCUGGAGGUAUCAGAAGUGCGAAUGCUGACAUAAGUAACGAUAAUGCGGGUGAAAAACCCGCACGCCGGAAGACCAAGGGUUCCUGUCCAACGUUAAUCGGGGCAGGGUGAGUCGACCCCUAAGGCGAGGCUGAAAAGCGUAGUCGAUGGGAAACAGGUUAAUAUUCCUGUACUGGGUGUGACUGCGAAGGGGGGACGGAGAAGGCUAGGCUAGCCGGGCGACGGUUGUCCCGGUUUAAGCAUGUAGGCGGAGUGACUUGGUAAAUCCGGUUGCUUAUCAACGCUGAGGUGUGAUGACGAGCCACUACGGUGGUGAAGUAGUUGAUGCCAAGCUUCCAGGAAAAGCCUCUAAGCAUCAGGUGACAUUCAAUCGUACCCCAAACCGACACAGGUGGUCAGGUAGAGAAUACUCAGGCGCUUGAGAGAACUCGGGUGAAGGAACUAGGCAAAAUGGUGCCGUAACUUCGGGAGAAGGCACGCUGGCAUUAGGUAAAGAGACUUGCUCUCGGCGCCGAAGCCAGUCGCAGAUACCAGCUGGCUGCAACUGUUUAAUAAAAACACAGCACUGUGCAAACACGAAAGUGGACGUAUACGGUGUGACGCCUGCCCGGUGCUGGAAGGUUAAUUGAUGGGGUCAGCCGCAAGGCGAAGCUCUUGAUCGAAGCCCCAGUAAACGGCGGCCGUAACUAUAACGGUCCUAAGGUAGCGAAAUUCCUUGUCGGGUAAGUUCCGACCUGCACGAAUGGCGUAAUGAUGGCCAGGCUGUCUCCACCCGAGACUCAGUGAAAUUGAACUCGCUGUGAAGAUGCAGUGUACCCGCGGCAAGACGGAAAGACCCCGUGAACCUUUACUAUAGCUUGACACUGAAUAUUGAGCCUUGAUGUGUAGGAUAGGUGGGAGGCAUCGAAGCGUGGACGCCAGUCUGCGUGGAGCCAACCUUGAAAUACCACCCUUUAAUGUUUGAUGUUCUAACUCGGCCCCAUAAUCUGGGGUGAGGACAGUGUCUGGUGGGUAGUUUGACUGGGGCGGUCUCCUCCCAAAGAGUAACGGAGGAGCACGAAGGUUAGCUAAUCACGGUCGGACAUCGUGAGGUUAGUGCAAAGGCAUAAGCUAGCUUGACUGCGAGAGUGACGGCUCGAGCAGGUACGAAAGUAGGUCUUAGUGAUCCGGUGGUUCUGAAUGGAAGGGCCAUCGCUCAACGGAUAAAAGGUACUCCGGGGAUAACAGGCUGAUACCGCCCAAGAGUUCAUAUCGACGGCGGUGUUUGGCACCUCGAUGUCGGCUCAUCACAUCCUGGGGCUGAAGUAGGUCCCAAGGGUAUGGCUGUUCGCCAUUUAAAGUGGUACGCGAGCUGGGUUUAGAACGUCGUGAGACAGUUCGGUCCCUAUCUGCCGUGGGCGUUGGAAGAUUGAGAGGGGCUGCUCCUAGUACGAGAGGACCGGAGUGGACGCAUCACUGGUGUUCGGGUUGUCAUGCCAAUGGCAUUGCCCGGUAGCUAAAUGCGGAAAAGAUAAGCGCUGAAAGCAUCUAAGCGCGAAACUUGCCUCGAGAUGAGUCUUCCCUGGGGCUUUAAGCCCCCUGAAGGAACGUUAAAGACUAUGACGUUGAUAGGCUGGGUGUGUAAGUGCAGCGAUGCAUUGAGCUAACCAGUACUAAUGAUCCGUGAGGCUUAACCUU